CAUAGGUAUCUGCCUAGUAGUGGGGGGACAACCUGGUGAAAACCAGGCUAAUACCGCAUAAGAUCUACGGAUGAAAGGAGGCCUCUUCUUGAAAGCUUUCGCUAUUAGAUGAGCCUAUGUCAGAUUAGCUAGUUGGUAGGGUAAUGGCCUACCAAGGCGACGAUCUGUAGCUGGUCUGAGAGGAUGACCAGCCACACUGGGACUGAGACACGGCCCAG
rnacentral:rRNA from 1 species